ACCUUGCGGUGUAAUGGAUAGCACACUCGGCUCACUACCGAGAGAUCUCAGGUUCGAAUCCUGGGCUAGGAA